AUUGAACGCUGGCGGCAGGCCUAACACAUGCAAGUCGAGCGAGCGGCGGACGGGUGUGUAAUGUAUGGGGCCUGCCCGAUAGAGGGGGAUAACUACUGGAAACGAUGGCUAAUACCGCAUACUAUCGGAUAACACAUAUGGGAUUAGCUAGUAGGUGGGGUAAAAGCUCACCUAGGCGACGAUCUCUAGCUGGUCGGAGAGGAUGAUCGGCAAACUGGGGACGAGGACACGGCCCAGCCUCCGACGGAGGAGGCAGUGGGGAAUAUUGGAAAAUGGGGGCAAGCCUGAUGCAGCCAUGCCGCGGGGAUGAAGAAGGCCUUAGGGGUUUAAAGUACUUUCAGCGGGGAGGCGUUACCCGCAGAAGAAGCACCGGCUAACUCCGUGCCAGCAGCCGCGGUAAUUC
rnacentral:rRNA from 1 species